rnacentral:rRNA from 1 species
UACGAAGGGGGGCUAGCGUUGCUCGGAAUUACUGGGCGUAAAGGGCGCGUAGGCGGACAGUUUAGUCGGGGGUGAAAGCCCGGGGCUCAACCUCGGAAUUGCCUUCGAUACUGGCUGUCUUGAGUACGGGAGAGGUGUGUGGAACUCCGAGUGUAGAGGUGAAAUUCGUAGAUAUUCGCAAGAACACCAGUGGCGAAGGCGGCUCACUGGCCCGGUACUGACGCUGAGGUGCGAAAGCGUGGGGAGCAAACAGG